rnacentral:ncRNA from 1 species
UAGGCGGAUUCCGAAAAGCCUGAAAGAGAGUAGGAG